GUGCGUCACGGGUGGCGGGCGCGGGAAGGGGAUUUGGAUUGUUGCGCCUCUGCUCUGAAGAAAGUGCUGUCUGGCUCCAACUCCAGUUCUUGCCCCUGAGCCGCGCCGGGAACCUAACCCUUCCCACUCUGUCACCUUCUCGAUCCCGCCGGCGCUUUAGAGCCGCAGUCCAGUCUUGGAUCCUUCAGAGCCUCAGCCACUAGCUGCGAUGCAUGUGAUCAAGCGAGUAGAGAUGGAGUUUCACCAUAUUGGCUAGACUGGUCUCGAACUCCUGACCUCAGGUGAUCCACCUGCUUUGGCCUCCUAAAGUGCUAGGAAUACAGGCUGAGCCACCAUGCCCUGCUGGCUAGAGGAUUUUAAAAGAGGAAGAAAUGGCCGCCAAGAACGAGUCAUGUUUGACAAAAUUACAUCUCGAAUCCAGAAGCUUUGUUAUGGACUUAAUAUGGAUUUUGUUGAUCCUGCUCAGAUCACCAUGAAAGUAAUCCAAGGCUUGUACAGUGGGGUCACCACAGUGGAACUAGAUACUCUGGCUGCUGAAACAGCUGCAACCUUGACUACUAAG
rnacentral:sRNA from 1 species